rnacentral:rRNA from 1 species
CAGCCGUAAACUAUGCGCGUUAGGUGUAUCGGUGACCACGAGUCACCGAGGUGCCGAAGGGAAACCGUGAAACGUGCCGCCUGGGAAGUACGGUCGCAAGGCUGAAACUUAAAGGAAUUGGCGGGGGAGCACAACAACGGGUGGAGCCUGCGGUUUAAUUGGACUCAACGCCGGACAACUCACCGGGGACGACAGCAAUAUGUAGGCCAGGCUGAAGACCUUGCCUGAAUCGCUGAGAGGUGGUGCAUGGCGUGUGACUGU